rnacentral:rRNA from 1 species
UACGGGGGGGAGCAAGCGUUGUUCGGAUUUACUGGGCGUAAAGGGCGCGUAGGCGGUCAGCACAAGUCAGUUGUGAAAUCUCCGGGCUUAACUCGGAAAGGUCAACUGAUACUGUGCGACUAGAGUGCAGAAGGGGCAACUGGAAUUCUCGGUGUAGCGGUGAAAUGCGUAGAUAUCGGGAGGAACACCAGUGGCGAAGGCGGCGACCUGGGCCAAUACUGACGCUGAGGUGCGAAAGCGUGGGGAGCAAACAGG